rnacentral:tRNA from 7 species
AGGCGCGUAGCUCAGCUGGUUAGAGCACCACCUUGACAUGGUGGGGGUCGUUGGUUCGAAUCCAAUCGCGCCUACCA